rnacentral:rRNA from 2 species
GGCGGCCUUAGCGCGGUGGUCCCACCUGACCCCAUGCCGAACUCAGAAGUGAAACGCCGUAGCGCCGAUGGUAGUGUGGGGUCUCCCCAUGCGAGAGUAGGGAACUGCCAGG